GUGCUCAUUUUGGCAGCCCAUAUUUAAAAUUGGAACCAUACAGAGAAGAUUAGCAUGGCCCCUGCCUAAGGAUAGUACACAGAUUUGUGAAACGUUCCAUAUUUUU